rnacentral:rRNA from 1 species
AUUGAACGCUGGCGGCAGGCCUAACACAUGCAAGUCGAGCGGUUGAAGGGAGCUUGCUCCCUGAUUCAGCGGCGGACGGGUGAGUAAUGCCUAGGAAUCUGCCUAUUAGUGGGGGACAACGUUUCGAAAGGAACGCUAAUACCGCAUACGUCCUACGGGAGAAAGCAGGGGACCUUCGGGCCUUGCGCUAAUAGAUGAGCCUAGGUCGGAUUAGCUUGUUGGUGAGGUAAUGGCUCACCAAGGCGACGAUCCGUAACUGGUCUGAGAGGAUGAUCAGUCACACUGGAACUGAGACACGGUCCAGACUCCUACGGGAGGCAGCAGUGGGGGAUAUUGGACAAUGGGCGAAAGCCUGAUCCAGCCAUGCCGCGUGUGUGAAGAAGGUCUUCGGAUUGUAAAGCACUUUAAGUUGGGAGGAAGGGUUGUAGAUUAAUACUCUGCAAUUUUGACGUUACCGGCAGAAUAAGCACCGGCUAACUCUGUGCCAGCCGCCGCCGUAA